rnacentral:rRNA from 1 species
AUGGUGACAGAAACCUCAUGGGAGUGCAGCGAUCUCAGCGACGCUAUUAAUAUUAUUGGAAGGGAGCGACGUCCGGCGCCGCUAGCUCGACGUGAUGUGAUUGAGGAUAGUGGUAGUGAUAGUGAUAGUGAUAGUGAUAGUGAUAGUGAUAAUCUCGACAUGAUGGAGAUGGGAAGAAGAAGAACCAUGGAUGCCAAGACAUGGAGAAAAACAGCACGAGAGUUUGAGUCUGAUUUCGCCCGAGUGGACUUCAGAAUCCAUAGAUUCCCCACGAGCCUACGAGACCUGGGCUCAAGGUACAUUGUCCCCAAGGUGGUGGCCAUCGGCCCUUACCAUCGAGGCUCGGAGCAUCUCAAGGAGAUGGAGAAGGUGAAGCACGUGGCUGCGUACCACUACAUCUUGGAUUGCCAGGCGAAUCUCAAAGACGGCUUCUCGUAUGAGGCAAUGAAAGCGGGGGUCCUUUCUGUAAUAGAUGAUGCCCGCGGCUUCUACGCCGACGUGACGGCAACAGCGGCUAUCGGUGAUGCUGAGUUUGCGGACAUGUUGUUUCUUGACGGUUGCUUCUUGUUGCAGUAUAUGCGCAUGCUUUACAACCGUAGGCUUUUGUAUUCGUCGUUGCUGUGCUGUUUCGAUUCAAAUCAAGUUUGCAUCAGCAAUGACAUAAUGCUGCUGGAGAACCAGCUGCCAUGGAUGGUGCUGCAGGCCCUCAUGAAGUUCCUAGAUACCGAGAAGACAGUUAUGAAGGGAGUUGCCAGGAUGGGACGCACACUGCAGCUCCGUUGGGGAGAGAGUAAUAACAGAAGAUGUAAAUUGCGUAGCUACGUGCCGCCACAUCUCCUUGGCCUCCUCCGGUUCUACAAAACAGGAUGCAAGACUAUUGAACCAGGACAGUCCAUAUUUGAUGAAGCUAUCAGGCGGCCAGUUUCAAAAACUGUUAGUGCUGCCGAGCUUGCAGAGAUGGGCAUAACAAUCACAACUAGCAAGACAAGAGAGCUCGGGGACAUGGGUAUCAGGAAAAGACCCCUCUUCAGUCAGAUCUUCGUGGCGCCACUAUUGUUGGACGAAAUGAGGUCAUGCUGGCUCGUCAACAUGGCGGCUUUCGAGGUAUGCAUCGCUACAGACUUUUUGAGCUCCACUGAAAUGCCGGUCGUCUGCUCUUACCUUGCUGUCCUCGCAAUGCUCAUGGAUCGAGAGGAGGACGUGCACAGGCUGCGAUCAAAGCAUGUCGUGCAAGGAGAACUCACCAACANNNNNNNNNNGGAGAGUCGGAACAGGAGAAAAUAUUGA